AUGCUCGCUUUGGCAGCACAUAUACUGAAAUUGGAACGACACGGGCAAGAUUAGCAUGGCCCCUGCGAAAGGAUGACACACACAAAAAAAAAACAAAAACGCAGCAA
rnacentral:snRNA from 1 species